rnacentral:rRNA from 1 species
UCCCUGGCGGCGUGCCUAAUACAUGCAAGUCGAGCGGACAGAAGGGAGCUUGCUCCUGGAAGUCAGCGGCGGACGGGUGAGUAACACGUGGGCAACCUGCCCUGUAGACUGGGAUAACAUCGAGAAAUCGGUGCUAAUACCGGAUAAUCGAAGAAACCGCAUGGUUUCUUUGUAAAAGAUGGCUCCGGCUAUCACUACGGGAUGGCCCCCCGCCCCUUAACUUAUUUGNUGGGUUAAAGGUUAACCAAGGCACCANUCCUUACCCAACNUAAAAGGGUNAUCGNCCACCCUGGAACUGAGACACGGCCCANACUCCUACGGGAGGCAGCAGUAGGGAAUCUUCCGCAAUGGACGAAAGUCUGACGGAGCAACGCCGCGUGAGUGAUGAAGGUUUUCGGAUCGUAAAGCUCUGUUGUUAGGGAAGAACAAGUGCCAUUCAAAUAGGGUGGCACCUUGACGGUCCUAACCAGAAAGCCCGGGUAACUACNUGCCANCAGCCCGCGGUAAUACUUAGGUGGCA